rnacentral:rRNA from 1 species
UGAACCUGGCGGAAGGAUCAUUACCGAGAAGGGAGGGGACUCGCGUCCCCCCCCGGAGGGCUCCGGCCCCCCGUUCCUCACCCGUUGCCUACCUACCUCUUCGUUGCUUUGGCGGGCUCGGGGACGCCCGGCGAGCGCCCGUCAGAGGUCCCGUCCGAAAUCCCAUUUCAUCAGUGGCGUCCGAGUGGGAUAUGAUCAAUUAUCAAAACUUUCAACAACGGAUCUCUUGGUUCCAGCAUCGAUGAAGAACGCAGCGAAAUGCGAUAAGUAAUGCGAAUUGCAGAAUUCAGUGAAUCAUCGAAUCUUUGAACGCAUAUUGCGCCCCUCGGUAUUCCGGGGGGCAUGCCUGUCCGAGCGUCAUUGUCUCUCUCAAGCCUGGCUUGGUAUUGGGUCGUCGUCCCCCUCGGGGCGUGCCCGAAAAACAGUGGCGGCCGGGGGCCGACCUUUCAGCGCAGUAAAUGUCCUCCCGCUUGGAAAGCUCGCCCCGCGGCCGGCCAGACACAAAUGUCUCUCCGUAAUUGACCUCGGAUCAGGUAGGGAUACCCGCUGAACUUUAAGCAUA